ACUAGUUUGGCAGAUUAAGUGCUUUAGAUUUAGAAUUUAACAAUGUAUUUUUACAAUUAGUA
rnacentral:tRNA from 1 species